rnacentral:rRNA from 1 species
AUUAGAUACCCCGGUAGUCCUAGCCGUAAACGAUACUCGCUAGGUGUCGGCCACGGUGCGACCGUUGUCGGUGCCGUAGGGAAGCCGUGAAGCGAGCCACCUGGGAAGUACGGCCGCAAGGCUGAAACUUAAAGGAAUUGGCGGGGAGCACCACAACGGGUGGAGCUUGCGGUUUAAUUGGAUUCAACGCCGGAAAUCUUACCGGGACCGACAGCAACAUGAAGGCCAGGCUGAAGACUUUGCCGGAUUAGCUG